CCUACGGGGUGCAGCAGUGGGGAAUAUUGGACAAUGGGCGAAAGCCUGAUCCAGCCAUGCCGCGUGUGUGAAGAAGGCCUUCGGGUUGUAAAGCACUUUCAGUGGGGAAGAAAGCCUUGGGGCUAAUACCCUCGAGGAAGGACAUCACCCACAGAAGAAGCACCGGCUAACUCCGUGCCAGCAGCCGCGGUAAUACGGAGGGUGCGGGCGUUAAUCGGAAUUACUGGGCGUAAAGCGCGCGUAGGCGGUCUGAUAAGCCGGUUGUGAAAGCCCCGGGCUCAACCUGGGAACGGCAUCCGGAACUGUCAGGCUAGAGUGCAGGAGAGGAAGGUAGAAUUCCCGGUGUAGCGGUGAAAUGCGUAGAGAUCGGGAGGAAUACCAGUGGCGAAGGCGGCCUUCUGGACUGACACUGACGCUGAGGUGCGAAAGCGUGGGUAGCAAACAGGAUUAGAUACCCCAGUAGUC
rnacentral:rRNA from 1 species